rnacentral:misc_RNA from 1 species
GAAAUGCGAUAAGUAAUGUGAAUUGCAGAAUUCCGUGAAUCAUCGAAUCUUUGAACGCACAUUGCGCCCUCUGGUAUUCCGGGGGGCAUGCCUGUCCGAGCGUCAUUGCGAACCCUUCAAGCACGGCUUGUGUGAUGGGCCCUCCCGCGUCUUGGUCGUCAAGACGGGCCCGAAAAGCAGUGGCGGCUUCGCGGUUAUCCGAUCAGCCAGAGCGUAUGGGGACUUUCUCUCUGUCACACGCCCGCGGCGCGGACCGACGCCUGUCGACCUUUAUUCAUCUUUUUCUCGGUUGACCUCGGAUCAGGUAGGGAUACCCGCUGAACUUAAGC